rnacentral:tRNA from 1 species
ACUCUAAUAGUUUAUAAA